UACGGAGGGUGCAAGCGUUAUCCGGAUUCACUGGGUUUAAAGGGUGCGUAGGAGGGCAGGUAAGUCAGUGGUGAAAUCUCUGAGCUUAACUCAGAAACUGCCAUGGAUACUAUUUGUCUUGAAUAUUGUGGAGGUAAGCGGAAUAUGUCAUGUAGCGGUGAAAUGCUUAGAUAUGACAUAGAACACCAAUUGCGAAGGCAGCUUACUACACAGUUAUUGACGCUGAGGCACGAAAGCGUGGGGAUCAAACAGG
rnacentral:rRNA from 1 species